rnacentral:rRNA from 1 species
AGAGUUUGAUCCUGGCUCAGAUUGAACGCUGGCGGCAGGCCUAACACAUGCAAGUCGAGCGGAUGAUAGGAGCUUGCUCCUGGAUUCAGCGGCGGACGGGUGAGUAAUGCCUAGGAAUCUGCCUGGUAGUGGGGGACAACGUUUCGAAAGGAACGCUAAUACCGCAUACGUCCUACGGGAGAAAGCAGGGGACCUUAGGGCCUUGCGCUAUCAGAUGAGCCUAGGUCGGAUUAGCUAGUUGGUGAGGUAAUGGCUCACCAAGGCGACGAUCCGUAACUGGUCUGAGAGGAUGAUCAGUCACACUGGAACUGAGACACGGUCCAGACUCCUACGGGAGGCAGCAGUGGGGAAUAUUGGACAAUGGGCGAAAGCCUGAUCCAGCCAUGCCGCGUGUGUGAAGAAGGUCUUCGGAUUGUAAAGCACUUUAAGUUGGGAGGAAGGGUUGUAGAUUAAUACUCUGCAAUUUUGACGUUACCGACAGAAUAAGCACCGGCUAACUCUGUGCCAGCAGCCGCGGUAAUAC